rnacentral:rRNA from 1 species
UACGGGGGGGGCAAGCGUUGUUCGGAAUUACUGGGCGUAAAGGGCUCGUAGGCGGCCAACUAAGUCAUACGUGAAAUCCCUCGGCUUAACCGGGGAACUGCGUCUGAUACUGGAUGGCUUGAGUUCGGGAGAGGGAUGCGGAAUUCCAGGUGUAGCGGUGAAAUGCGUAGAUAUCCGGAGGAACACCGGUGGCGAAGGCGGCUUCCUGGACCGACACUGACGCUGAGGCGCGAAAGCCAGGGGAGCAAACGGG